rnacentral:antisense_RNA from 1 species
GCUUCAGAAAGAAAAGAGCAAAAACAACAGACCUUCAUUCAGCUUAGGAACAUAAUAAAUAGGACGAAGUUGAAUAAACGAAAUGGACGCAAGUGAAGUAUUCCAGAUGGAAGAGGCAGUACGUGGCCAAGAGGAAACAGACCAUGCGCACUGGAGAAAAAGGAUGGCCAGACUUGCAGAAACCUGGAAUUGGUGAUUGGCUUUAGAAGUGGAGAGACAAAAAAGGGGGCAUAGAAAGUGCCAACAUUUGGCUACACAGGGAAGAAAGACGUAAAAUAAUAAAAACAUUGGCAUCACCUGUAGACUCAAAUCCUGUGAGUGAAGGACCUGAGCAAUGAAGGAUGGAUUGAACCUGUGACUAGCCUUCUUCAGCAUAUGUAAAACGAUGUCUGCUUUUCUUCUCUAUUUGUCAUUUUACCGACUUUUUAUAUAGUGGUUUCCCCAUAUCCAUGGAGGAUGCAUCCCAAGACCCCCAGAGGAUGCUUGAAACCACAGAUAAUAACAAACUCUAUGAAUCCUAUGAUUUUUCCUGUACAUCCUUACCUAUCAUAAAGUGAGUUUAUAAAUUAGGCACAGUAGGAGAUUAAAAACAAUAACUCAUAAUAAAAUAGGACAAUUAUAACAGUACAACCUAAUGAAA